AAAAGAGGAGGAGAUUGGGGACCAAAGAGUGAAGUCGAUCUCAAAAAGUAGAAUCCAUUCAAGAAUCGUAACAUAUCAUUCUGACAUUUCCUCCGCAUGGUUCAAGGGAAUGGAGACGACUUCUAAACCGUUUCUUUGAGUCUUUCUUUUUCUCGCAUCUAGAUCCCUCAUGAUCCAAAUUGGUUCUCAAAGAGUUCUUACCACAUUCCAUGAGACACCCUUGUAGCUCUUUCACCAGAUAGCAUAUUGGAUCUUAAAUAAUUUCAACUAAUUAGUAUCAAAACUACUAUCUCCAUUAAUUUCUGUCGGAAAUCAUCGGAGAAAUUAAGGGCAUACA